GUGCUUGCUUUGGCAGCACAAAUACUAAAUUGGAACAAUACAGAGAAGAUUAACAUGGCCCCAGUGCAAGGAUAACAUCCAAACUAGUGAAGCGUUCCAUAUUUUU
ensembl:snRNA U6 U6 spliceosomal RNA